UGUGAGUCAGUGAGUGACUGGUGACUGGCUGCUGCAGCCAAUGAUGCGAUUCACAUACGUAUUUACCAUAGACUGUAUAUAAUGGUAUUUACGCAGCUAAUCAACGUCACGCGUCCUUAUGUGCAGCCACCGUUGUUGUCAUAGAUAUGAAUGAGUAGAUAGGACACGCCCCUUUGAGCUGCGUGCUACAGCGAGGCUAAGCUAGUGGGGGCAAAGUUUCAGUGCAUUCCGUUGAUGUAGACGGCGUGAAAACGGAAACAACAAGUAUGCCGGCUCACUGUGCUGCAUACAAUUACACACUGCGUCGUACGAUUGAGACAAGGAAACUUGGAAUGACUUUUCAUAGGUUUCCCAGAGACUAUGGGUUGAGGAGGAAUUGGAAGUUUGUCGGCUUAGACCUGGUGUCAUUCCAUCAGUGUUAAACUUCCCGGCUCAUCUUGGAAGAGUACGUGCCAGAAAGACCACGACCAAGCAGCCUUGAGAUCUUAGGCAGCGUCUCCCUGAGGUCCCUCUCUAUCUCCCCACACAUCCACCAACCACUGGAACACAUCUCCAAAGUUCUGCCGGGCCAGCUCAGCUUCCCCUCAGAAGAAGUGCCGCCAGAUGAAGGAGCCUUUUGAGAGGCAGCUGGCAUCGUGAUUGGACUGUACUUUGGUCUGUUCCAAUCCAGCUUCAGCUCCAGAGACGGCAGGCGGGACGAGUCAACGGAGGCCGGGUGGACGAAGGCAUGCAGCUGAGUACAA